UACGGAAGAUGCGAGCGUUAUCCGGAUUUAUUGGGUUUAAAGGGUGCGUAGGCUGGUAAUUAAGUCAGUGGUGAAAUACUCCGGCUCAACCGGGGGGCUGCCGUUGAUACUGGUUACCUUGAGUUUAGAUGAUGUGGGCGGAAUGUGUCAUGUAGCGGUGAAAUGCAUAGAGAUGACACAGAACACCGAUAGCGAAGGCAGCUCACAAAGCUAUUACUGACGCUGAUGCACGAAAGCGUGGGGAUCAAACAGGA
rnacentral:rRNA from 1 species